rnacentral:sRNA from 1 species
UUGAGGCUGGAAGAUACAAGUUCCUGACCUGGAUCUUGGCAUGGAGAUCUUGAGGCAAAGUGGCUAUGAAUCCCAGUCAAGGAAAUCUUUAAGUUCAAGUUUAUCUGGGACAAAGCAGGUCCCAGAUCCAGGCGUGGUGGUGCACACCUUUAAUCUGGGCCACACCUUCUGCUGGAGACCUACAUAAGGACAUUGGAAGAGGGAAGACUCUCUUCUUCGCCUGCUUGCCUUGUGGGACUGAGCAAAUGCUAGAUCCUUGGGCUUCCAUUCACAGUUGCUGCUGACCAUUGUUGGGAAGUUGGACUACAGACUCAUUUUGCUGGGGUGAAGUGAAGAGGUCUGCAGCUGUCGGGUGGGUCCUGGAGACAUAGCUCCAAGCUACUGCCAGCACUAUACUAUCUAACAGAAUAGACUUCCAACCAAAAUUCAUCAAAAGAGAUGGGGAAGGACGACACUUCAUACUCAUCAAAGGAAAAUCCGCUAAGACGGUAUCUAAAUUCUGAUCAUCUAUGCCUCAAACUCAAGAGCACCUAUAUCACUAAACGUUUCUAAAGCUUAAAUCACAUGUUGAACCCCACACAUUCAUAGUACACUU